AUAUGUUUCUGGUAGGAGAGACAUCAUGAUCAUUAAGGUAGCUUUCCCAGGGCAAGGCUCACCCAUUGCAUGCGGGAUGUGCUGAUCUCUACGGUUUUUCCAAAUAAGGGAAACUGGACUGUAUAUUCUGUCGCAUGGCAGACUACAUCCCUAAUCUUCC
ensembl:snRNA U1 U1 spliceosomal RNA